rnacentral:rRNA from 1 species
AGCGAACGCUGGCGGCAGGCCUAACACAUGCAAGUCGAACGAACUCUUCGGAGUUAGUUGCGGACGGGUGAGUAAGACGUGGGAACGUGCCUUUUGGUUCGGAAUAACUCAGGGAAACUUGUGCUAAUACCGAAUGUGCCCUUCGGGGGAAAGAUUUAUCGCCAUUAGAGCGGCCCGCGUCUGAUUAGCUAGUUGGUGAGGUAACGGCUCACCAAGGCGACGAUCAGUAGCUGGUCUGAGAGGAUGACCAGCCACACUGGGACUGAGACACGGCCCAGACUCCUACGGGAGGCAGCAGUGGGGAAUCUUGCGCAAUGGGCGAAAGGCUGACGCAGCCAUGCCGCGUGAAUGAUGAAGGUAUUAGGAUUGUAAAAUUCUUUCACCGGGGACGAUAAUGACGGUACCCGGAGAAGAAGCCCCGGCUAACUUCGUG